GUCUAAGUCAGUUCAUACGGUGGUAGCUAGGCUCACUCAGAUAUGUAUUUAUCUUUGUGUGUUACUGCCACCAACCCAUCACACGGUUUGUCUGCUAGUGUCCUGCCUGAAGCCCACAGCCUGUUCUCUGAAGUAUAAGAGCCCAGCUGAACCCUGGACCCCCACCUGCUCACCUGAAAUCUCAAAUAAUACCUGUGCUGAUCAGUAGAGGCUAGGAUCCACUCAGUAUCUCACAACCCUACACCUGCAUUUUCUUUAAACAUUAAAUCCAUAAAUAUGCUCUAUUGCAGUCCUAUUCUAUUACAACAAAGUCUGGGUGGUAUAGAAGCAAAAUGCAAAGAAAAGACAGAUGGCUCAGUCAUUUUAACAGCCCUGUGAGAGAAUCAGGAGUUCGGGUGAUAUAGGCUGGAUGAAAGCACGACCAAAACUCAUCGGUAAAAAAAGACGAGAACUGAUAAAAUUAAUGAAAGACUACAGACAGCAGGUGUUCUCAGAACAUAACCGUGCCGUCUUAUGACAGCAUAAAAGUAAACAUGAGUUUUCGUCAUGAUUUUCCAGCUGCAUUGAGGUUUGUUGACGUAAAUGCCAAGUGACAAAAACUGUGGUGAACAGCAAUUGAGUUUGAUGUUGUAGACACUCCACCCCACUGUGAGACAUCCUUUAUCGAAAUGUCUUAUAAAUAUCUCAGCAAGCUGCACGCUUGGCUGCUUGGUACAAUUGUCAUAAUCAUUUGUGUUUUACAACAGCAAGCUGUUGAAUAUUAAGAGCAUGUACAAUUGUUUAAACCAAAUGUAUUAUUGAUUCCUCUAAACUUUUCCUCUCUGCAGUUUUUAACCUUUCUCCUUAUUUUUUUUUUUAUUUUCUCUCUUCCGCUCUUCGUUCAUCCGGUCGCAUUUGUUUCGACUCCUGUAAUUCCUCUCAGCUUUCAAAAUGGUUUUUUUUUAGUAGAUCCUUUUAAAGAGGAUGAUUAAAAGUUCUAGCUGAAAUGAUCCUCUGUUGCUACCACUAGACUGAUCUUUGCAUCAUAGGGUGGAGGACUUAGGGGAAAGUCAUGAAUCUCUCCUGGGAGAUAAUGACAUGUGCAGUCAUGUACAAAAUGCUAUGCUGAUUUAAUAUUUAUAAUAAUAAUAAUGGAUGUCAUAAUGCUUUCUCCAGUCUCAUCGACCUGUCAAAAAAAAUAUACAGCACGUCUACUAUCCUGUUAGGAGGACCCGCUCUACCUGCCAAGUAUAUAAAUGUGUUGGACAUGCUUUCAUUUUGCAUCUGGUACUGCUCUUUUCUUGUCUCUUUCCUUAUUGUCCAGCCUACGAUGACUCCCUGAGCCUUUUUUUUUCCUUUUACUGUUAAAAAGGAUUUCUUUCUCCCCACCGUCACCAAGUGACUCACAGGUCAUUGUCUGAUCUUUGAUGUUGUUUGUAUAACAUUACCAGGUCUUCACUUUUCAAUAUAAAGUUGCUUGACGUGA